rnacentral:rRNA from 1 species
UACGGAGGGUGCGAGCGUUGUCCGGAAUCACUGGGCGUAAAGGGCGCGUAGGUGGCCUGUGGAAGUCUGCGGUGAAAGCCCGGCGCUCAACGCCGGGUCGGCCGUGGAUACUCUCGGGCUUGAGCUUACUAGAGGCAGAUGGAAUUCCGGGGUGUAGCGGUGGAAUGCGUAGAGAUCCGGAAGAACACCGGUGGCGAAGGCGGUCUCUGGGGGUAACACUGACGCUCA